GACGAACGCUGGCGGCGUGCUUAACACAUGCAAGUCGAACGAAGAGCGAUGGACGCUUGCUUCUAUCAAUCUUAGUGGCGACCGGGUGAGUAACGCGUAAUCAACCUGCCCUUCAGAGGGUGACAACAGUUGGAAACGACUGCUAAUACCGCAUACGAUCUAAUCUCGGCAUCGAGGAUAGAUGAAAGGUGGCCUCUACAUGUAAGCUAUCACUGAAGGAGGGGCUUGCGUCUGAUUAGCUAGUUGGAGGGGUAACGGCCCACCAAGGCGAUGAUCAGUAGCCGGUCUGAGAGGAUGAACGGCCACAUUGGGACUGAGACACGGCCCAGACUCCUACGGGAGGCAGCAGUGGGGAAUCUUCCGCAAUGGACGAAAGUCUGACGGAGCAACGCCGCGUGAGUGAUGACGGCCUUCGGGUUGUAAAGCUCUGUUAAUCGGGACGAAAGGCCUUCUUGCGAAUAGUGAGAAGGAUUGACGGUACCGGAAUAGAAAGCCACGGCUAACUACGUG
rnacentral:rRNA from 1 species